CGCGAAGAAAUGAUGGUUUCUUUUAAAAUUGCUCCGACGAGAUUUACGAUUAUACAAUGGUUCGACCUUCGAAGCUCUGGUGGCUUUCGAUAUCGUAAACAGAGAAGCCAUGACUUGAGGAAGUGGAUACAAAGUACGCUUCAUUUCUUCCAAUCUAUCAACAGUAAAACAUGAGGUGGAGGUGCAAUUAGCACCAGUUUUUUCCGCUCUGGAAGAUCAAAUGAAACUUUACCAGAAGGCACUAUGAGAUGUGCAAGAAAGAGAAAAAGAAAGAAAAGCGUUGGUAGAGGAACAAACCUCUGCGACAUGUUGCAGUUGCAGUUGCAAUUACU